ACUUAAAUCCAUACCACAUUAAGAACACUCGAUCUCGUUUGAUCUUGGAAGCUAAACUGCGUUGGCCAUGGUUAGUACUUGGACCUGAGACCACUAAGACCAGGUGCCACGGUGGGGGAGCAGUGGGUUUAGUUC
rnacentral:rRNA from 1 species